GGGUGAGUAACACGUGGGCAACCYGCCUGUAAGACUGGGAUAACUCCGGGAAACCGGGGCUAAUACCGGAUAAUUCUUUCCCUCACMUGAGGGAAAGMUGAAAGAUGGUUUUGGCUAUCACUUACAGAUGGGCCCGCGGCGCAUUAGMUAGUUGGUGAGGUAACGGCUCACCAAGGCAACGAUGYGUAGCCGACCUGAGAGGGUGAUCGGCCACACUGGGASUGAGACACGGCCCAGACUCYUACGGGAGGCAGCAGUAGGGAAUCUUCCGCAAUGGACGAAAGUCUGACGGAGCAACGCCGCGUGAGUGAUGAAGGUUUUCGGAUCGUAAAACUCUGUUGUUAGGGAAGAACAAGUACCGGAGUAACUGCCGGUACCUUGACGGUACCUAACCAGAAAGCCACGGCUAAMUACGUGCCAGCAGCCGCGGUAAUACGUAGGUGGCGAGCGUUGUCCGGAAUUAUUGGGCGUAAAGCGCGCGCAGGCGGUUCCUUAAGUGUGAUGUGAAAGCCCCCGGCUCAACCCGGGAGGGUCAUUGGAAACUGGGGAACUUGAGUGCAGAAGAGAAGAGUGGAAUUCCACGUGUAGCGGUGAAAUGCGUAGAGAUGUGGAGGAACACCAGUGGCGAAGGGGACUCUUUGGUCUGUAACUGACGCUGAGGCGCGAAAGCGUGGGGAGCAAACAGGAUUAGAUACCCUGGUAGUCCACGCCGUAAACGAUGAGUGCUAAGUGUUAGAGGGUUUCCGCCCUUUAGUG
rnacentral:rRNA from 1 species